rnacentral:rRNA from 1 species
UGCAGUCGAACGCUUCUUUUUCCACCGGAAGCUUGCUCCACCGGAAAAAGAGGAGUGGCGAACGGGUGAGUAACACGUGGGUAACCUGCCCAUCAGAAGGGGAUAACACUUGGAAACAGGUGCUAAUACCGUAUAACAAUCGAAACCGCAUGGUUUUGAUUUGAAAGGCGCUUUCGGGUGUCGCUGAUGGAUGGACCCGCGGUGCAUUAGCUAGUUGGUGAGGUAACGGCUCACCAAGGCCACGAUGCAUAGCCGACCUGAGAGGGUGAUCGGCCACAUUGGGACUGAGACACGGCCCAAACUCCUACGGGAGGCAGCAGUAGGGAAUCUUCGGCAAUGGACGAAAGUCUGACCGAGCAACGCCGCGUGAGUGAAGAAGGUUUUCGGAUCGUAAAACUCUGUUGUUAGAGAAGAACAAGGAUGAGAGUAACUGUUCAUCCCUUGACGGUAUCUAACCAGAAAGCCACGGCUAACUACGUGCCAGCAGCCGCGGUAAUACGUAGGUGGCAAGCGUUGUCCGGAUUUAUUGGGCGUAAAGCGAGCGCAGGCGGUUUCUUAAGUCUGAUGUGAAAGCCCCCGGCUCAACCGGGGAGGGUCAUUGGAAACUGGGAGACUUGAGUGCAGAAGAGGAGAGUGGAAUUCCAUGUGUAGCGGUGAAAUGCGUAGAUAUAUGGAGGAACACCAGUGGCGAAGGCGGCUCUCUGGUCUGUAACUGACGCUGAGGCUCGAAAGCGUGGGGAGCAAACAGGAUUAGAUACCCUGGUAGUCCACGCCGUAAACGAUGAGUGCUAAGUGUUGGAGGGUUUCCGCCCUUUCAGUGCUGCAGCUAACGCAUUAAGCACUCCGCCUGGGGAGUACGACCCGCAAGGUU